UAAUUCUGCUCAUCUGAGAGCACAUAAUUCUACUGUUUAAGGAAAAGAAAUGUUUCCUGAGCAUUCCAUUUCCAAAGGAAUUUAUCACAAACCACUAAGGAAUUUAUGACAUUGCAUCUAAUGACCCCAUUCACAACUGCAUACAUGUCUUCCACUUGCCCAUUAGUGUGUUGGCCCAUGAUGAAGGAAACCAAGGACUUUGACACCAAUUAGACCUGCGCUUGAAUUCCGGUUGGGCAAACUGUGUGACCUUAUGAGUCAACUCACCCUCACUGAGCAGCCCCUUUCCUCCCUCCUCUGCAAGAUGGAGCUCAUAAUUCCCCUACCCCACCCUGUGGUAUCAUCCUGAGCAACGAGGGAGUGGAAAGGCAGAACCAUCCAUCUUGGAUACUGGUACCAAGGAGCACAUUAAUAAGUUGGACCAACUUCUUUCCUCCUUCCAUGAUGAGCAGGUAAUUUCAUGUGGGAUUUCCUGGGAGUGUCUCAGCUAAUGAGAUGAUUCAUUUUCAAGCCUUCCUGCAUUGAGUUUCAUUCUCUCUUCUCCUCCGAGGGCACCAAAGGGACUUCUAGAAUAUAGACAAGGACGUGUCCAUCCCCCACUUAACAGUCCCCAGUGGAUCUCAACUGUCUUCAAACUAAAGUGGCAUUCCUUGGCUGGGCAUUCUGAGCUCCUCACCCUGGAACUUCUGCUAUACUGAGCCACUGCUGUCCAACAGGAAAGGAUGUUACCGGACAGGACAAAGAAGUAGGGAGUCACUGUCUUCUGACCCAGGGGGGCUGGGACGUGAGUGCUGCGUAUAGAAUACAGUCACCAAGCCCUGCUGCCUGGCGCUUGCCAAGGAAGCCUUCCGUUGAGAUGUCACUAGUCUCAUCUCAGAAUUUUAUCCAGUCCCCUGACAUCUGG
rnacentral:lncRNA from 1 species